GUUAAGGGUAAGGCUUCUGGCGAAACUGUUCAUGUUAUGGGUAAGGCUUCUGGUGACCAGUAGGCUAUUAGCUAAGUUUUGAGGGAGUCGAAAGUCACAGAAGGAUUUUCAACUUCAUAGGGGUCAGUGCCCCACACCCCCAGCCCUUCCCCAUUGCUCAAGGGUCAACUGUAUAUAAUUUCAAAUCGAGGUUGCAGACAAAUACUGAAUACCCCACUUCAAGUUCAAAUGUCAGAGCUAAUGUAGAAUUUCUCGCUUCAUAUUUGAUAACAGCCCAAGUGGAUUCAGCACAAAUAAAUUAUCGCGCUGUAAGGAUCCCGAGGGAAAAGUUGAUAAGCCAGAUCCCAUUCUCUCCACAUGUGUCUCAACAAAUAUAUCAUCUUAAGAAGAAUCUUAUCAGAUGAUGAUCUUAAAAUUGUUAUCUCCUGUUCUCCAAUGGGGAAACUGAGGCAGAGGAAGAAGCUCUGUGUGGCUUCAGGCCUCAGAACCUGCUCAUGGUAAGCCAGGAAUAGAACCCUUGUCUUUUGUAAACCAGCUAAGCGUGGAAAGCACGGGACACGUCUCUCCAGUCUUUGC
rnacentral:lncRNA from 12 species